CAGGCGCUGCUGCCCCAACACAGGCGGGCACUCUCUGCGGGUCCCGCGGCUCCCGCGGCUUCCGGCCCACUCAGCGCCUCCAGAGGCCUCAGGUGAGGGUCACCCCCCGCAGCUUGGGGUCACUCCCCUGAGCCCCCGGAUCUUCCCAUGGGUCCUUUGGAGGCCUGGGUUUUGGAGUUUGUCCUUCGUUAAGUGCCGCCCGCCGGGCGCGGCUGCUCCAGGACCACAGAUUUCGCUGGGGAUGCUACUUGAUCUCUCUUCAGCCUCAGUUUCCUCACCUGGACAGUGGAGCUGAACCCACCCCCCACUAUCUGACCCUGCUCUCUGGGCUGUCUUUUGGGAACCCGCCCUGCUGAGGCCUGCUCCCCACCCUCCAUGGCUGUCAGCCCCCCAGGAGAAGAAUGUCUGCCAUAUGGAGGCUGCUGGCAGCAAAGGGAGAUGAACAAGCCAAGGUUGCCCGGCCUGCAUGCCGGCCCAGGUAGACACUUGAAAGGACCUUCUCUGUUUGUGGGUUUUUGCCCUGGUGCCUGGAGCCCCUUCCCUAUAGUCCCUUGACCCAGCCCAGCUCUAUGGGCUGGA
rnacentral:lncRNA from 10 species